CAAAGGCAGGACAAUAAUAGUAUUAAUUCGAACUUGAAAAAGAAUGUAAUUAUUUUCGGAUAUAUUCCCUAAUGUAUCCUGAAAUUAGAUUGUUUUUUUUUACUUUUUAGUACAGAUGUUAUCAAUGGAGAAGGUCACCUCAACCGAACGAUUCUACUAUAUUGCACAGAGUUGUUCAAUAAACUCCUGCAGGCAUAAACAUUUCUAAACUUUACAACAUAAAACCUCAUACAUAAAACUGGAUUUGACCCGUCUCUUGUUCAGUUCGGUGCCGUUCACGCUGACGAAAAUGUUUUUCGGGAAAUUGAAUUCAGUUUCUUUGGUCUACAUCUGCUUUAUAUUCUACAAUAUGGCCACAGGGUGACAGUGGUUCCGCUUUCAUAAUCAACAAUACAAUUUUUGGAGUGGUGGUAUCAGCACCAUUUGAGAGGAACUAUUAUAUUUUAACGGACGUCUUUUACUUUCUCGAUUGGGUUAUGAAUAUUAUUGGCAUUCCGGGUGAAUUGGACUUCCUGAAAGAGCUUUACUGACGAGUGGGAUGUAUACAAUAAAACAUCUAUCAAAAUGUGUCCUCUCAAAAGUUGUACAGAUGAGUUGGAAAUAAACAAAGCUUUGUGUUCCUUU